rnacentral:rRNA from 1 species
UGGGAUAACACUGACGUUCAUGCUCGAAAGCGUGGGUAGCAAACAGGAUUAGAUACCCUGGUAGUCCACGCCCUAAACGAUGUCAAUUAGCUGUUGGGCAACUUGAUUGCUUAGUAGCGUAGCUAACGCGUGAAAUUGACCGCCUGGGGAGUACGGUCGCAAGAUUAAAACUCAAAGGAAUUGACGGGGACCCGCACAAGCGGUGGAUGAUGUGGAUUAAUUCGAUGCAACGCGAAGAACCUUACCUGGUCUUGACAUGUACGGAAUCCUCCAGAGACGGAGGAGUGCCUUCGGGAGCCGUAACACAGGUGCUGCAUGGCUGUCGUCAGCUCGUGUCGUGAGAUGUUGGGUUAAGUCCCGCAACGAGCGCAACCCUUGUCAUUAGUUGCCAUCAUUAAGUUGGGCACUCUAAUGAGACUGCCGGUGACAAGCCGGAGGAAGGUGGGGAUGACGUCAAGUCCUCAUGGCCCUUAUGACCAGGGCUUCACACGUCAUACAAUGGUCGGUACAGAGGGUAGCCAAGCCGCGAGGUGGAGCCAAUCUCACAAAACCGAUCGUAGUCCGGAUUGCACUCUGCAACUCGAGUGCAUGAAGUCGGAAUCGCUAGUAAUCGCAGGUCAGCAUACUGCGGUGAAUACGUUCCCGGGUCUUGUACACACCGCCCGUCACACCAUGGGAGUGGGGGAUACCAGAAGUAGGUAGGGUAACCGCAAGGAGCCCGCUUACCACGGUAUGCUUCAUGACUGGGGUGAAGUCGUAACAAGGUAGCCGUAGGGGAACC